UACGUAGGUGGCAAGCGUUGUCCGGAAUUACUGGGUGUAAAGGGCGUGCAGGCGGGGAUGUAAGUCAGAUGUGAAAGCCCAUGGCUUAACUGUGGGAAUGCAUCUGAAACUACAUUUCUUGAGUACUGGAGAGGGAAGCGGAAUUCCUAGUGUAGCGGUGAAAUGCGUAGAUAUUAGGAGGAACACCAGUGGCGAAGGCGGCUUUCUGGACAGUAACUGACGCUGAGGCGCGAAAGCGUGGGGAGCAAACAGG
rnacentral:rRNA from 1 species